rnacentral:rRNA from 1 species
UACGAAGGGGGCUAGCGUUGCUCGGAAUCACUGGGCGUAAAGCGCACGUAGGCGGCUUUUUAAGUCAGGGGUGAAAUCCUGGAGCUCAACUCCAGAACUGCCUUUGAUACUGAGAAGCUUGAGUCCGGGAGAGGUGAGUGGAACUGCGAGUGUAGAGGUGAAAUUCGUAGAUAUCAAGCAGAACACCUGCGGCGAAGGCGGCCUUCUGGACGAUGACUGACGCUGAGACGCGAAAGCGUGGGGAGCAAACAGG